CCUACGGGAGGCAGCAGUGGGGAAUAUUGCACAAUGGGGGAAACCCUGAUGCAGCGACGCCGCGUGAGUGAAGAAGUAUUUCGGUUUGUAAAGCUCUAUCAGCAGGGAAGAAGCAAGACGGUACCUGACUAAGAAGCCUCGGCUAACCACGUGCCAGCAGCCGCGGUAAUAUGGAGGGGGCAAGCGUUAAUCGGAAUUACUGGGUGUAAAGGGAGCGUAGGCGGUAUGGCAAGUCUGAAGUGAAAUCCCAGGGCUUAACCCUGGUACUGCUGUGGAAACUGUUAGACUAGAGUGCUGGAGAGGUAAGUGGAAUUCCAGGUGUAGCGGUGAAAUGCGUAGAGAUUAGGAGGAACACCAGUGGCGAAGGCGGCUUACUGGACAGUAACUGACGUUGAGGCUCGAAAGCGUGGGGAGCAAACAGGAUUAGAUACCCCAGUAGUC
rnacentral:rRNA from 1 species